rnacentral:rRNA from 1 species
GAACGCUGAAGCCRGRWGCUUGCWYCUGGUGGAUGAGUGGCGAACGGUGAGUAACACGUGAGUAACCUGCCCCCGAUUUCGGGAUAAGCCCGGGAAACUGGGUCUAAUACCGGAUACGACCAAUCUCGCAUGAGGGUUGGUGGAAAGUUUUUCGAUCGGGGAUGGGCUCGCGGCCUAUCAGCUUGUUGGUGGGGUAAUGGCCUACAAGGCGACGACGGGUAGCCGGCCUGAGAGGGCGACCGGCCACACUGGGACUGAGACACGGCCCAGACUCCUACGGGAGCAGCAGUGGGGAAUAUUGCACAAUGGGGGAAACCCUGAUGCAGCGACGCAGCGUGCGGGAUGACGGCCUUCGGGUUGUAACCGCUUUCAGCAGGGAAGAAGCCGUAAGGUGACGGUACCUGCAGAAGAAGUACCGGCUAACUACGUGCCAGCAGCCGCGUAAUACGUAGGGUACGAGCGUUGUCCGGAAUUAUUGGGCGUAAAGAGCUCGUAGGUGGUUGGUCACGUCUGCUGUGGAACGCAACGCUUAACGUUGCGCGUGCAGUGGGUACGGGCUGACUAGAGUGCAGUAGGGGAGUCUGGAAUUCCUGGUGUAGGGUGAAAUGCGCAGAUAUCAGGAGGAA